AAGGGGCAGCAUGGGAGCAGUUGCCCCAGAAGAGCUUGAAGGAGAAGGAUCUGCAGGCAGCAGCGGGACCCUCAGCAGCAUGGUGUGUGGCUGGCAAGAGAGGCAUCCUGCUGGGCUCCAGGAUCCCCUACAAGAGGCGGUGGCCAGCAGGAGGAUCUGAGCAGCGACCUGAGGGGUCCCAGCUUGGCUUCCAGUUCCUCCAAUCAGAGGCCAGGCAGCUCGAAAUGAGACCAGGGAUCCAGGAAGGUCAAGACCCCUAGCAGCAUGAAGUAGUACCAGCAGUGGUGGCUGUGUGGCAGUGGUUUUUGCCUACCAUGUGGGAGAUCUGAGUUCAAGUCCCAGCUUUGGUAACUUGAGAAGACCUGGAAAAUUUGUAGUUGUUCAUGAUAGAAACCUCCAUCAACUCAACUUUCAAGCCUAGCAGUCCCAUAGAAAUGUGACUACACUAGAGAUGGUGAACAAGAAGAAAUAUGUGAGGAACUUCUGUGGAAGUGCUCAGUGCAGCUGGUUAAUAGAAUGCCAGGAAGAGACCUAGAUUAGCAGGAUAAUUGAACACUGUUGGAGGAAGUACCAAGAAAAACUGAAUGUGCUGUUAUGCCAUUUUAAAUCCUGAAAAAAUGUGGUAAAUGUUGCAUUGGAUUGGAUUGGAUUACAUAGACAAUUGUACCUGAUAUUCCUUUUAUAAUAAC